GAAGAUUCUGAAAACAAAUAUAAAGGAACUUGACCUAGAUGCUGCUCGUGCUGAGCGCCAGCUGAACAACAAACUAAGGAAGGAAGCUGAGGAUAGAGGAGAAAAAUUCAAAAUUACAAAGUUGAGACGCAAUGUAGAAAUGGAUGAGUAUGAUCUGAUGCAUUGGCGCCGAUCACUGGAAGAAAGAGAAGCUCUUCUCAG
rnacentral:misc_RNA from 1 species